rnacentral:rRNA from 1 species
UACGUAGGGUGCAGGCGUUAAUCGGAAUUACUGGGCGUAAAGCGUGCGCAGGCGGUCUGCUAAGAGAGAUGUGAAAUCCCCGGGCUUAACCUGGGAACUGCGUUUCUAACUGGCAGGCUUGAGUGUGGCAGAGGGGGGUGGAAUUCCACGUGUAGCAGUGAAAUGCGUAGAUAUUGCUCGGAAGGCCGGAGCCGAAGGGGCCCUACUGGUACGUAACUGACGCUGAGGCACAAAAGCGUGGGGAGCAAACAGG